rnacentral:rRNA from 1 species
UAAUACGGAGGGUGCAAGCGUUAUCCGGAAUCAUUGGGUUUAAAGGGUCCGCAGGCGGUCAAUUAAGUCAGAGGUGAAAUCCCAUAGCUUAACUAUGGAACUGCCUUUGAUACUGGUUGACUUGAGUUAUACGGAAGUAGAUAGAAUGUGUAGUGUAGCGGUGAAAUGCAUAGAUAUUACACAGAAUACCGAUUGCGAAGGCAGUCUACUACGUAUAUACUGACGCUCAUGGACGAAAGCGUGGGGAGCGAACAGGAUUAGAUACCCUGGUAGUCCACGCCGUAAACGAUGGACACUAGUUGUUGGGAUUUAUCUCAGUGACUAAGCGAAAGUGAUAAGUGUCCCACCUGGGGAGUACGGUCGCAAGAUUG